GCCUCCCGUCGGUCAAGCAGGGGCUGCAAGGUCCUUCCGACACCCUUGUGCUCUGCAUGAGGUGGGAAGGAAGCACGACAGGGAGUUGCCUGUUUGAUUUCGUUCUGAAAAUCAUAUGUUAAAGUCUCUCGAUGAUCUGAAUGUACUGACACUCCAAAAGAAUGGAGAAAGGAGCUUUAUAAAUCACCCAAUAUCCACUUUAGUCUGCUUUUCAAUUUUCAUUGCACAGAAACACAAAUUGCAGCUGUUCCUUAAGGUGUCUGAUCUAUCCUCUCAAGAAGCCAAUUUCUUUUUUAAUUUCCUCUGAUGAGACUCAGAAGAUGCUGGAUAAAAUAUGAGAUUUGCCUUCUGAAGUGCCUGGAAUGGAGUAAUUCUGCAAAGUGAAGCCUGGAAAGAAAGGGAGAAAAGUGAGAUGCUCACCUCCUUUCAAUCCGUGGGACUUGCCUGUUUUCCCAGAGGAGCCUUUGUGAACUUGAAGACUGCCGGCACCUCUCUUUCCCUUACCAUCAAGUAUUUUCUUUCACUGGGAAAACAGUCCCAUGUCACUCAGCUUGCAACCUGCUGUUGGAGGAUAUGUUUUCUAGGCCACCUGCGGUUGUCUCCUAGGUGCGUUCACAGCAAUGCAUACAGGAGUCUGAUGUAAGCUGAAGAAGAAAAAAAUUAUGUCACUGUGCUUGCAUACCUCUGAAUAAUGUGCAUGUUUUUCAUGCCAGCCAAACAUCAUGGACUUGUGCUCUGUUUGUGAGCAGCACAAGCCCCAGCCUACACUCUCCUGAGCUGCCACCCAGCAGCUUCUCCCCAGCCAAUGUGCUUCUGUCUAGAUGUCAUGCUCUGUGUGUUUGUCCCUACUGUACCUUUCUCCCUUUUGGACCAUCCCUCCCAUUUAUCAUGACAAAUCUGGGCUCUCUGCUGCGCUGGCUCCCUGCUGGGGAGGGUUGUGUGUUGCCCAUGCACCGAGGGCCAGCUUUGCUUUGGGACCACAGAGAGGCAGAGCUGAUUAUUUUUCAGAUGAUAUGUAUGUGUGCACACCCACACUGGGCUUCUCUCAAAACUCCUACAUUUACAUGCAGACUCACUAACAGGAUUUCUGCCAAACUAAGAACCUCUUCCAUUUACAUUUCUGGGGUGUGUGUGCUCAUGAGCUUACCUCACUGCUUGACUUUCUUGUGUUGACUGAGGUUUGUAUAUUAGUAAAAUUUUCAUUUCAACCUUUUUCAAGCUUUCAUUUUCAAAAUUUUCCGGCCGGUAUAAUGAGGCAGGCAAAACAAGUGAUGCCAAGAGCAGGAGAGAGAAGAGUUAAUGGUCUGCAUGAGGACAAAGGACUUAGAUAUAGAUGUCUGUGUGCUGAUUAGCAGGGUUUUUGGGACACAGUAAUACUGCUAUUUGCUCAUCUUAUGAACAAACACAGUUUAAAUUUUAAUUCCAGAGUUUUUUAUCACCCUGCUGUAGAUUUUUUUCUUUUAAGUCGUUUGUCUGCAACAAAUGAGCUAAAAUGAAGGGACUUGGUUCCAGCAUCGGUUUAUGUGGGGAUAAACUGGUCCUGCUGAGAUACUGCACUUCUUAUGUUGAUGUACUCAGAGACUAUGUAAUCUCCCAAAAGCUUCUGUCUAGAUCUGGGUUUUCACUGAAGAAGGAGUGAACAGGGGCUCUAGAAACUGGCUAGGGGGAAUAAUGAGCUUACUGUGCCUCUGGUUAUGUCACUGCAAGCAAUGUAAACAGAUUGUUUCUAAACCGGGGUACUAGGAGGAUUAGAUAAACCAUUUUUAGGUUAGAUGAGAGCGGUCUUUGGCAGAGGUUGUUUAUACCAGUGCCACUACCUGCAGUGAGUGGUGCUGUGCAUCCAAGAUUUGUUUGUGGGUUUCUAUGAUAUCCUUCUGACUAGCUUGUGAGACCUCUAGAGACCAUGGUUCCUGAGAAUGCAUGGGAGCAUAUCCAUAUCAGCUGUGAGUGUAAACAGAGAUGGGUUGCAAAUAGGAGUAGAAAUUUGGCUCCAACUUUCUUCUGUCAUACUACAGUGGGAAAGACACAGGUUUUAUACAUGAUAUUGCUCAUGGCUUUGGGAAUAUUAUAUGCCACGUCUGUAAAAUAAAUCCAUGUCCUCUCUGAAA